GUGCUCACUUCAGCAGCAUAUAUACUAAAAUUGGAACAAUACAGAGACAAUUAGCAUGGCCCCUGCACAAGGAUGACAUGCAAAUUUGUGAAGCGUUCCCUAUUUUU
rnacentral:snRNA from 1 species